rnacentral:rRNA from 1 species
UACGUAGGGUCCGAGCGUUGUCCGGAAUUAUUGGGCGUAAAGAGCUCGUAGGCGGUUUGUCGCGUCUGCUGUGAAAUCCCGAGGCUCAACCUCGGGUCUGCAGUGGGUACGGGCAGACUGGAGUGCGGUAGGGGAGAAUGGAAUUCCUGGUGUAGCGGUGGAAUGCGCAGAUAUCAGGAGGAACACCGAUGGCGAAGGCAGCUCGCUGGGACGGUACUGACGCUGAGGCGCGAAAGCUAGGGGAGCGAACGGG